UACGGUCUCCCAAGUUCGAUCCAACACAGAUGGACUCAAAUGAGGGACCAAAUAUAACUUUUACAAUACUCUAAACAACCCACCAAGAAACCCCUAAAAACAUACCAAAACAUACAUAGAAAUCAAGCAGUAAAAGGUUGGGCAGGUGACUUUUGGCGGCAGGUUCAGCGGUCAAAGGUCCUUCACAGAUCCGAAAGUCAAAACUUUCGGGGGCAGGUUCGGCGGCCUAAAACUCUUCACAGAUCUGAUGGUUAAAACCUUCGGGGGCAGGUUCGGCAACCUAAAGCCCGUUACAGAUCCGAAGGUUGAAAUCUUCGAGGGUAGUUUAGGUGGCCAAAUGGCUGCCUUCCCAAGUAGGUUCAGCGGUCGAACCUUGCUUCGGCGGCCAAACCUGGGUUCUCCAGCAAGGCAGAACCCGAUUCUGUCCUAAAUAUGCAGCCUCCUAAAAGCCUCCAAACACAUAUGCAAAAGCUCAAAAGCAACAGAACACCCUCAACAUGCAUAAGAGAUAUCUAGAUCUAGUCUAAACCUCAACAUGCAUCAUCAAAACCCAAGAGAAAAACGUCCACUAUCAACCCUAAGCUCAAACCUAUCAACUAAAAGAAAAACCAACUUGCAUGCAUCAACAAACCCCCUAAAACACCUAUUGAACUUGCUGAAACCUUUAGAAAGUAGAAGAAAGGUGAAGAUCCAACUUACCUCUUGAAGAAUACUAAAGUGGCAGCAAGCAAGGGGAGGUUUUGGAGAUGGAUGAAAGAGUUCCGAGGGUUCCAAGAGCUAGGAUUCUGAAACACCAUUUAAUCUUCAAAACAACAGCAGAAAAAACAUGAAUUCUUUGAGGGAUUUGAAGAAAUUCAGCAAAAAUGCCAAAGAUGGUGUAUGAACUCACCUCUGCCCGAAAAUGGAGAAAGAAAUCUCGUAUUUUCGAGCUGAUGGCUAUUUAUAGGUGGCUGAGGAAACCACGUUCGGCGGCCGAACCUUAGGAUUCCUCUAAAACUCUUUUCUCUUUCUUUUCUUUUAACACGAUUCAAAAAUUUCAAAUUCAUUUUAUGAAAACCUUAUUUUACCCUUCUAAAUAUCACAGUUUCGGGAUUUCGGAUUCUGAUGGAGAUUCCGUCGGAAAGUGGAAAUUCCGACACUGGAGUUUAGUCGGGUAUUACAUCUAAAUGCUAUUCAUGUAUGUUCAAUUCAGACUAUGAAAAGGGAUAUGCUCAUGCCUUUCUGUCAUUGUUGUUACAGGUAAGCUAAUCUUUUCAAAUUGUGUAAUAUAAUAUUUGUGCAUCUCUCCUAAAAUUCAUCUCAAGAUUUCGCUACUACCACCUUUUGCCAAGGGUUGAUUUUGUAGUUCUCUUCUGGCUGUCUAAUUGAAGUCAGGAACAGCAUUUUGAAUGAGGUGCACCAUGUGAAAUGCAGCCUUGAGUUCCAGCAUCAUAUUGCUCUUUCUUUAUAAUUGGUACACGAUCUUCUAUGAGUUAAAUGAGCGGUGAAAGAGAUCAAAGCAUCGAUCAUACUAUUGUAGUAAGCUGUAGUUUCUCACUCAAUUGAGCUUGCUAAGCUAUAGUUGCUUCCUGUGUUAGAUCUGUAACACUAGCGGAGAGUGAAUCAGGAACUCAGUAGAUUUGACAUGCAUCUGCAAAAAUCUCUGCUGCAAAUCUUUCAUCCAAUUCUUCAGAGGAAGAAUUGGAUAUGUCCUCUCAAGAGGCAUAACAAGGUAAAUAAGAAGCUAGGAUGGUAUACGCCUGUUUCCUUUCCAUUUUCUCUUUGGCGGGUGCAGAAUUGGAGCACGACUCGUGGAUGUAUAUUGAUAAGCUGAUGAAUCAAUAUAUUUACUUCGAACUAAAAAUUUUGUUGAAUAUGAUUCAGGGCUGAUUUUAAUUUGUUUUCUUAAGCACUAUUCAAAGUGGAAAAUUAGUCUGAGGAACCCGCUGCUUCCUUGGUUAGAGGGUUUUACUAUGCAGUCCCAAGACUCAGUCUUGGUGACUUUGUGUUCCAUGUAAUGUAGUAAUUGAUUGACAUGGAUACAAUGCUCUACUUUUCAAGGUCGAUGGGUGAAGCGUUUGCAGAAAAGAGAAGGAUGAGAUUUAACUGCUGUUAUAGAACAAUGGCAGGUGAUUUCAGCUCAAAUGAUAUUUAACCCUUUAAAAGUCGUUCAUCUUUGGUUAUCUGGUAAAAUGAAUUCACCAGGCAGGAUACACAGCAGCUUAUGCUUUGGAAUCAAUAAAGAGCAGUGCUUUUCCAGUUGAGAAUUCAUUUUGACAGAUCUCUAGGAUGGAGAGCUUAAAUUGAAUGCAACUGUUCUGUGGGUGUGGCCCUGACUUUUGAUAAGCAAACAUGUCCCAAAGUAGUUGAUUCACAUGGAUGAAAAUCAUUGACAGAUAUGGAUAGCAUGCUUAUAAAUCAGGUUUCUGAGUAGUUUAUUUAC